UACGAAGGGGGCUAGCGUUGUUCGGAUUUACUGGGCGUAAAGGGUGCGUAGGUGGCCAGGUAAGUUCGAUGUGAAAUCUCCGGGCUUAACCCGGAAAGUGCAUUGAAUACUAUCUGGCUAGAGGGUUGGAGGGGAGACUGGAAUUCUCGGUGUAGCAGUGAAAUGCGUAGAUAUCGAGAGGAACACCAGUGGCGAAGGCGAGUCUCUGGACAACUCCUGACACUGAGGCACGAAAGCUAGGGGAGCAAACAGG
rnacentral:rRNA from 1 species